CGGGUCCUGUCAUCGGACGGCGUGAAGCCUCAGGUUGUUUUCAAUGCUGCGGAACUAACGAAUGUAAUGCUGGACUGUGUGCUCAUCAACCAUCGACAACACCACAUACUAGCCUUCCUGUUGGUGUCGUUGAUCACUGCAAGUCGGACCCUUGCCAGAACGGCGGAUCCUGCUAUGAGAGGGUGGAUGGUUUCGUGUGUGAGUGCACGGCCGGGUUCACUGGUCUUCACUGCGAUAUUACUGAUAUGUGUGCUUCGGAUCCCUGUCUGCAUGGAGGCAAAUGUCUCGAUACUAAAACAAGUUACGUCUGUGACUGCACCGGUACUGGUUACGAUGGCUUCACGUGUCACCUGCCCUACAACGACUGUCAGUCACAACCCUGUCUCCACGGCGCCACGUGUG